AUACGGAGGAUGCGAGCGUUAUCCGGAAUUAUUGGGCUUAAAGGGCGCGUAGGCGGCCGUUUAAGUCAGAUGUGAAAGCUUACGGCUCAACCUUGGAAUUGCGGUUGAAACUGGGAGGCUUGAGUGCUUGAGAUGGGGGCGGAAUUCGGGGUGUAGCGGUGAAAUGCUUAGAUAUCCGGAAGAACACCGAUGGCGAAGGCGGCCACCUGGACUGUAACUGACGCUGAUGCGCGAAAGCGUGGGUAUCAAACAGGAUUAGAUACCCUGGUAGUCCACGCAGUAAACGAUGGAUGCUCGCUGUCGGGGAGAGACAUUAAGCGGCCAAGCGAAAGCGUUAAGUAUUCCGCCUGGGGAGUACGCCGGCAACGGUGA
rnacentral:rRNA from 1 species